AUAUUGGGCGUAAGAGCUUGUAGGCGGUUUGUCGCGUCUGCUGUGAAAAUCCGGGGCUCAACCCCGGACUUGCAGUGGGUACGGGCAGACUAGAGUGUGGUAGGGGAGACUGGAAUUCCUGGUGUAGCGGUGAAAUGCGCAGAUAUCAGGAGGAACACCGAUGGCGAAGGCAGGUCUCUGGGCCACUACUGACGCUGAGAAGCGAAAGCAUGGGGAGCGAACAGGAUUAGAUACCCUGGUAGUCCAUGCCGUAAACGUUGGGCGCUAGGUGUGGGACUCAUUCCACGAGUUCCGUGCCGCAGCUAACGCAUUAAGCGCCCCGCCUGGGGAGUACGGCCGCAAGGCUAAAACUCAAAGGAAUUGACGGGGGCCCGCACAAGCGGCGGAGCAUGCGGAUUAAUUCGAUGCAACGCGAAGAACCUUACCAAGGCUUGACAUAUACCGGAAACAUCCAGAGAUGGGUGCCCCUUUUGGUCGGUAUACAGGUGGUGCAUGGUUGUCGUCAGCUCGUGUCGUGAGAUGUUGGGUUAAGUCCCGCAACGAGCGCAACCCUCGUUCUAUGUUGCCAGCACGUGAUGGUGGGGACUCAUAGGAGACUGCCGGGGUCAACUCGGAGGAAGGUGGGGAUGACGUCAAAUCAUCAUGCCCCUUAUGUCUUGGGCUUCACGCAUGCUACAAUGGCCGGUACAAAGGGCUGCGAUACCGCAAGGUGGAGCGAAUCCCAAAAAACCGGUCUCAGUUCGGAUUGGGGUCUGCAACUCGACCCCAUGAAGUCGGAGUCGCUAGUAAUCGCAGAUCAGCAACGCUGCGGUGAAUACGUUCCCGGGCCUUGUACACACCGCCCGUCAAGUCACGAAAGUCGGUAACACCCGAAGCCGGUGGCCCAACCCUUGUGGGGGGAGCGUCGAGUGGGACUGUGAUGG
rnacentral:rRNA from 1 species